rnacentral:rRNA from 1 species
AAUAGAUACCCAGGUAGUCCACGCCGUAAACGAUGAGUGCUAAGUGUUAGAGGGUUUCCGCCCUUUAGUGCUGCAGCUAACGCAUUAAGCACUCCGCCUGGGGAGUACGGCCGCAAGGCUGAAACUCAAAGGAAUUGACGGGGGCCCGCACAAGCGGUGGAGCAUGUGGUUUAAUUCGAAGCAACGCGAAGAACCUUACCAGGUCUUGACAUCCUCUGCCAACCCUAGAGAUAGGGCGUUCCCCUUCGGGGGACAGAGUGACAGGUGGUGCAUGGUUGUCGUCAGCUCGUGUCGUGAGAUGUUGGGUUAAGUCCCGCAACGAGCGCAACCCUUGAUCUUAGUUGCCAGCAUUCAGUUGGGCACUCUAAGGUGACUGCCGGUGACAAACCGGAGGAAGGUGGGGAUGACGUCAAAUCAUCAUGCCCCUUAUGACCUGGGCUACACACGUGCUACAAUGGAUGGUACAAAGAGCAGCGAACCCGCGAGGGUAAGCCAAUCUCAUAAAGCCAUUCUCAGUUCGGAUUGU